GAUGAACGCUGGCGGCGUGCCUAAUACAUGCAAGUCGAGCGAACAGACGAGGAGCUUGCUCCUCGGACGUUAGCGGCGGACGGGUGAGUAACACGUGGAGAACCUACCUAUAAGACUGGGAUAACUUCGGGAAACCGGAGCUAAUACCGGAUAAUAUAUUGAACCGCAUGGUUCAAUAGUGAAAGACGGUUUUGCGGUCACUUAUAGAUGGAUCCGCGCCGCAUUAGCUAGUUGGUAAGGUAACGGCUUACCAAGGCAACGAUGCGUAGCCGACCUGAGAGGGUGAUCGGCCACACUGGAACUGAGACACGGUCCAGACUCCUACGGGAGGCAGCAGUAGGGAAUCUUCCGCAAUGGGCGAAAGCUUGACGGAGCAACGCCGCGUGAGUGAUGAAGGUCUUCGGAUCGUAAAACUCUGUUAUUAGGGAAGAACAAAUGUGUAAGUAACUAUGCACGUCUUGACGGUACCUAAUCAGAAAGCCACGGCUAACUACGUG
rnacentral:rRNA from 1 species